AUUGAACGCUGGCGGCAUGCCUAACACAUGCAAGUCGAACGGCAGCACAGUGUGUAGCAAUACACAUGGGUGGCGAGUGGCGGACGGGUGAGUAAUGCUUAGGGAAUCUGCCCAAUGGUGGGGGAUAACUAGCCGAAAGGUUAGCUAAUACCGCAGUACGCCUUUACGGGGAAAGCGGGGGAUCGAAAGACCUCGCGCCGAUGGAUGAGCCUAAGUCCGAUUAGCAGUUGGUAGGGUAAUGGCCUACCAAGGCGACGAUCGGUAGCUGGUCUGAGAGGACGGCCAGCCACAC
rnacentral:rRNA from 1 species